AACAUAAUUGUUUAAAUACUGUGUGCAAUUAUGUAUUACGAACGUACAAAAAGCUUAGUUAAUGAUUAACUCGGUAAGUCGGGACAGACUCGACCUAACACCCCGGAACUUAGACAUAAACAGGAAAUUGAUACAAAUCUCCAGAUUAUCUUCACUCGUUUAUCCCUGAACUCUGGUCCCCGCAUCCCCUCGGAACUCACCUGUUUCAGCUGAUGGACACAGGUGUCAGCAUCACGAAUCCAUGCAGAGGAGGCGAUGCCCGCUCUCAUUAUAAGCACCGCCGCUGCCGCCAGCGACCUGCUCCACGCCGACGGAGCGGUGAGUGAGGACUUAAAUCCGUCUCUCCGCCGGAGCUGAUGGGACACACUGCGGCGUGUGAAGAAGGGCUGUACUGCAGAACUCACACAGGUCUCAGUCCCACCCCCCCCACCCACCCACCCACAUUAGGGGGGUACCUGCAACAGGGCAAGGAACGUUUGGCAAAGAACCGAAACUAUUGACAGAGAAGAAGCUGUCCGUCAAAAGAACAUGGACCCAAAGUUAGGGUCUCAGUGUUUGAAGUCCACAUUGAAAGUGCAUCACAGAUGUGCUGGAGCUUCGGUGUACAUUCGGCUGUCUCCUCAUGUUUACACAGAUAUGAGCCCUUCGGUUAAAUUAUUAAUUCGUUCUCAUUGCCAGGUCAGAAUUCCACGUGAAAGUGCUUUUCAUUGAAAGCAGACAUUCGGAUGAAAAGCCGAAAGAACUUAUUAUCUGUCUCCGUACUCUUUUAAGCCUCAAGUGAAUAAUGGUAAAAAAUUUCAGUGUAAUGAUGUUCCCGUAUCUUUAAAUUACAUUUCCACUGA